UCCGAAGGGGGCUAGCGUGGCUCGGAAUUACUGGGCGUAAAGCGCACGUAGGCGGCUUUCUAAGUCGGGGGUGAAAUCCUGGAGCUCAACUCCAGAACUGCCUGCGAUACUGGAAAGCUCGAGUCCGGGAGAGGUGAGUGGAACUGCGAGUGUAGAGGUGAAAUUCGUAGAUAUUCGCAAGAACACCAGUGGCGAAGGCGGCUCACUGGCCCGGUACUGACGCUGAGGUGCGAAAGCGUGGGGAGCAAACAGG
rnacentral:rRNA from 1 species